rnacentral:siRNA from 1 species
AAAGUCCUAAGCACGGCACUGGUC